rnacentral:tRNA from 1 species
GGAGCUGGGGCUCAGUGGUAGAGCACUUGCCUACCAUACAUGAGGCACUGAGUUCGAUCCUUAGCACCA